AGAGGUGGCCUGGUGUUGGAGAUGGGUUGACAGAUAGCUGAUCGUAUCCAUGGAAGUUCAUAAUGUCUCCUUUUAAUUCAAUGAUGACUGGUUGCAUCACGUUUCUAAUUACGUGUUGUAUGUGUAUUAAUGUUGAAUUAAGGGACGUGGGUUUGUGUGAAUGAAUUGCCUUUUAAAGGCACUACCUUAUGGAACCAGUAGGUAUGACCCAACGGAAAGGCAUCGCUGGUUAAUUAAAAAAAAAAAAAAAAAAAAUGGUACUUGUGGCCGAAAAUCCUUGCUCCUUUAACCUACACAAACCAACAAUAACACAUGGUUAUACGCAGCCGUGAUCAUUGCAGGAGCAAAGAACGGUACCUUAAUAUUUCCCCAGUCUUCGUUCUGCUUCUUCUUCGUGUACUUCUUUUCAUGCGUGCGAGAGCGGGGCAAGGGACACUCGAGAACAAUACACAGGAAAUCAUACCGUUACCAUUUUUGCUCGUAAUUCUGAACGGUUCAUAUGGGCGCCACUUGACUUGUGGUGUAGUACUAUACCCGCCUUGAUUGUUUCCUCUAGACUUGGUUCCAGCUGUAGCAAGCUCUGAUGGGAACUAAAUCAACAUUCAAGCAGUUAUGUAUUUAGCGAACUGGUCUUUCGGUAAAUUUGUUGUGAAACUUUAAUCUGCACUAAGAUGGCAACAACAAAAAUCUUGUUUAUAAACAAGGGACGAAGAUAGCGGCCUAGUACGAUCAUCUGUACUUGCUCAGUUCAUUCGGUGCAAGAACAAGGAUCAGUACUUUUAAUAUAGUAUAAAAAUUGUAUUUAUAUAUAUUCAUUUUAUUUAUUUGUUUGCGUGCCGUAUGUAGGUACGUUGGUGUAUGCCUGUGCGUAUUGACGUUAUACGUCCGUUAAUUAGUUUUUGUCAGUGUUUUUUGUUACGGAAUAAUGCCAACGCUCAUACCCCUUCCAAAUUAACUGAAAUAAAUCACCCUUUCGAAAAUUAAAUGAGUUAUGCUGUUAUCUGAUUUGAUUUAUGAACGGCUGGUCUUACCAACAGACACUGGAACACAUUUGUUAUUUACGUAGUACGAGUUCUGUUAGCCGAGUUGACUUAUCUAGUUGGUAAUGCUUUUUUCGUCGUUUAUCCAACCCUCAUUUUGUCAAGAUAUAAUAAAUAUACACAUGUUGACUUCUUUGUUUUCACGGUAUCACUGAACUAUUCUUAAUGCUAUCAGUUUUAGUGCCUUUUUACAUGGAAAGACAUCUUUAGUCUUCGCUGUACUAAAGAGUCAGUGAUCAUUUCGACAUAUAUUUUUAGAAAUAUACUUUUUCAUUUUAAUCUCUUCACUCUCCAGGAGCCAGGUGAUGAUUUAGUGGCAAUCUGCGAAAUCUCAUUACUCGAGCUCGUACUAAUUAUGGAAGCAUAACUUUUCGUCAAGAUUUGUAUUUAUUAUUAUUGUUGUUGUUGUUGUUGUUGUUCCCUGGUUGGAUAUCAUGUUGUAAAAAUUCGAGUAUUUAAUCAACAAGAGGAAAAUGAUUGUAUUAUAAUAAUUGAUUUUCCCGUUAACAAUCAGCAUUAUUGUUGUUCGCUCGCAUAUCAAGAUGUUUUAUACUUGUGUUUAUGUGAGGGCACUGAAUAAUUGUAUGCUUAUCACAAUCAGAAAUUGAAAACCACUUUUAAUGGGCAAAUCACAUAUAAGAUAUUGACAACGACUUGGAAAAUCCGUGAAUCACGUCUGGAAAUUGGCGGCUUUUAAAAUCCGUAACCACACACAAGAAUUUGACAACUUGAAAAUCCGUGACUCACGUCUAAUAAAAAUUGACAGCAACUGUGAAAAUCCGGGAAUCGUGAAUCCAGAAAUUGACAGCAUUUUUGACAACUCGUGAAUCACGCACUAGAAAUUGACAGCAUCUUUUACAACCCGUGAAUCACACGUCAAGAAAUUAACAACAAUUUCGAAAAUUCAGUCCCCCUUGGUCACGCUAUUUAGAGUUAGCAGCAGCAAGUGGCGGCUGCAGGGAAUAUUCGUAAAGGCAGCAACAACGGGGCAAAGGUAGAUUUCCUGUGUCAGGUCCUGUAACGGUAUAUUGAAGACGAUAUAUAAGAUGUAGUCUUUACCCACUUGUGGUACCUCCCAUUCACCUAUAUUUUUAUGUUAUAAUUUUCAUAAUAAUUGUAUGCUUUUUCAAACUAACAGAUACUCAGGUGUGUAUGAGAGGGACUGGAUACAUCGGAAGAAUAAUAAACUAAUAGUGACAAGGCGGUUUCAGCUGCUAAGAUGUUCCUGGAGAGAGAGAGAGAGAGAGAGAGAGAGAGAGAGAGAGAGAGAGAGAGAGAGAGGCACUGCACCUUGUCCAGUCCCGUUAACCACGUGUGGCUCGGUUAGCGGGCAUUAGUCAUUGAUGGCUCGAGUCCGUCGCCUACCGCUUCAAUAUCUUCGUUGCAACUUUCCAUUUUGAAGAUAAGGCAGCAGCGCCGCUUCCGAGCAGCACGUGAAUACAGAAACGGCGAGAACAAGAACAAGAGAGAGACGCAAAGUAAUACAUGAGACGCAAAUAUGCACACAUCGAUCAAGUUGCUUUCCUCUUCGCUUAAUCGCCUCCCUCGGCAGAGAUCGGAUCUGGAUCGUCCAACUCUUCCGGUGCCCACAGGAGAAAGAAGAGCUCACAGGAUCACUUACCUACAGGAGAUAUCCUACAAGGGGCACGUUAAGGACACGUCCAAUACGUCUCCAUAUCCCCUUCGUCAAGAUCUGCACUACAUAUUAAAUAGCUUCUGUCCUUUUCCUUCUUACUUUCCUACGCUGUUCCUGCUUCGUUUGUUUUCCAAAUAAUGCCUGCCAUUGUAUGAUUUGUUUUUUAAGCUCUUUUUAAUUUACUUUAUCAAAUAGCACGUAAAUGGCAUCAAUAACCCCAGUAUUUGUGACGCCAUUUAAACAGGGCAUCGCCUCGUGUUACGCAAACCGCUGCGUCACUCAUCAAAUGAAGGUCAACAACUUCUGCGUUACUGUGCCUGAUGAAUCACUGACAGGGAAUUCGAGCGAACUGUUUUAUUGUGACGUAAGUGAUCUAAUACCCCCACCCCCCUCCCUCCAUCUCCCUCUCCUCCCCAAAGGCUUCCUGCCUUUCCCCUACCCCCUUCCCCUCCCCACCCCACAAACGUCAGGGAUUUUGGUGGUGAUUCCAUGGACGUCCGGAAUGCGAAACUAUCGAUUCCAGGCCGCUCUUCGGGUUCCAUGACUUAUCUCGUGUCAGCCUGUUCAGCCCGGAGUGAAUUACUGGUCCAGCUGUGAGAUGUCAUCGUUGGUGUUUCAGUAGCGUGCGUCCAUCCUCCGUCCACCCUGGGAAGAAAAAGAAGAAGAAGAGGAAGAGGGAGAAGAAGAAUAAGAUGAGAAGAAGCAGUGGAAGAAGAAGAAGAAAACGAUGAGAAGAUGCAGUAGAAGGAGAAGAAGAAAAAGAAGAAGCUUUUGUUUGAAUGUUUACUGUCAUAUUUUUAUGAAUGUUUGGAU